rnacentral:rRNA from 1 species
AAGAUUAUGCUUAACUACCGCAUACGACCUGAGGGUGAAAGCGGGGGACCGUAAGGCCUCGCGCGAUAGGAGCGGCCGAUGUCUGAUUAGCUAGUUGGUGGGGUAAAGGCCCACCAAGGCGACGAUCAGUAGCUGGUCUGAGAGGACGAUCAGCCACACUGGGACUGAGACACGGCCCAGACUCCUACGGGAGGCAGCAGUGGGGAAUUUUGGACAAUGGGGGCAACCCUGAUCCAGCAAUGCCGCGUGUGUGAAGAAGGCCUUCGGGUUGUAAAGCACUUUUGUCCGGAAAGAAAUCCCCUGCUCUAAUACAGCGGGGGGAUGACGGUACCGGAAGAAUAAGCACCGGCUAACUACGUGCCAGCAGCCGCGGUAAUACGUAGGGUGCGAGCGUUAAUCGGAAUUACUGGGCGUAAAGCGUGCGCAGGCGGUUUUGUAAGACAGGCGUGAAAUCCCCGAGCUCAACUUGGGAAUGGCGCUUGUGACUGCAAGGCUAGAGUAUGUCAGAGGGGGGUAGAAUUCCACGUGUAGCAGUGAAAUGCGUAGAGAUGUGGAGG